AUGCCAGGGCAGUGGAAAGCAAUUUUUCAAAUUCCCCAGAUAUCCCCCAAAUGGCUGUGCUUCCUCAGGAGCCGGGAUGGCUGGAUUCAGUUCAGCAGGGGGACCCAUGACUCCACGAGGAGACCUGGCCCACACUUCCUUUUCUCCUGGGAGGUGUUUAUGCUUUGGACUCUGCAGAACCACAAGACAAAGGCUGCACAAAGAGUUCUGUUGAGAGAGGAGUGCUACUUUCAUCCCUGGCCGAUGCUCAGCUCUCCUAUGAAGCAGUCACAUGCAUGGGACACUUCCAUAGUGGCGAAUGAGACCUUACGUAGUCCUUCCAAUUCCUGGCUGCAUCUUAGUGGAGCUUUUGAAAAUACAGAUACCCAAUCCCCACACCGGAACAUUUAAAUCAGAAUUUCAAGGAGCUUCUUUCCACCAGUCCCAAAGAUUUUGGUCUUCCUUCUGCCCACCUCAGAUGAAUCAAAUAACUCAAUAGGUCCAGAUGAAUUAACACGAGAAAAGAGUAUUCAGAUGUCUAGGAGUAAGAACUAAAAAACAACACAACAAUGGCAGGAAUAGACCAGAACCAAGCCUAAAAUCUGGGCCUGCCACCGGAAUGUUGUGAUUACAAAACACGCUUUCAGUAUUCCAGUACACCAUGAUAUUUUUCAAGAUUGAAAUUCCGGUGUAUUUCCUGGGGUAAAACCAUGAUAGGCUUUUAAGCAAGGGAUGGAUAUAGUGAAAUAUUUUUAAGGAAUGCAGUUUUAUUCAGUUUGAAAUUUUGCAGAAUGUACCUCUCUGGAUAUAUAUUAAGAUGUACUGAUUCAGAUUUCAUACUUUUCAAAAACACUAACAUAUGUUAUUAUACCCCAAAUAUUAUUUUGGAACUUAUGACAGUGCUGUAUUUCAGAGCAUCAGGACAUGGCAAACCUGUGUUGCAAUCACAACAACUCCCUGCCAGGCCCAGGUUUCAGGACUGCCAGAGGUCUGACCCAGCAGUUACACACCUUUUCGGUAGAAGUCACUGAGUGUACGUUUUGGCCAUGUAGCCUCGAUAGUAUCGAAUCAGUAUUCGGCAGAGGAUAAAGCCCUGUGUUAACCCCCAAGGAACGAACAUCUGGAAUAUUAUUAAAUGUAAAUAUAAUUUUAAAAUUUACUGUUUUGUUCCCCUAAAUUUUGCUAGUCAAAUGUAAGAAGUUUGAUAUGUAGUGUAGGAACAAUCUUUCUCAGCUCCCUCAGCUGCUAGGUUGUAUCUGUGUCACUAUGUCACUAUGUUGCAUGUCUGAGACACCAAAUAGUAAAUACUCGUUGUUGACUGACAUGGAUGGAGAGAAGGAUUUGGGGAGUUGUAUUUAUACAUAUAUACAUAUAGUGCUUAUGUGAAUAUGUGUGUGUGUGUGGCCUGAUCGAAGAUGUUUUAUCAAGGAAAUUUUUCCAUAUCGUUUACCUGCUGAAGUCACAGAGUCAGUAUUCCUUUCAUUCCUGCCUGCAAAACAGAUCAUCUUUUUUCUCAAGGUCGUCUCUGUUGUAACAUAUUAGCAAAGGCAGCCAAGGCAGCUGGCUCACAGGGCUGACAUUGUUUCGCUAAUGUCUUCUCUUAGAGCUCAAGUGCAGUAGGUUUAUAACAUACUUCCUGAGACCACAGGCAACGGAUUUCACAUUUUUCACGCCACCAUAACACAGAAGCGCCAUAUUUCUAACCUCUAAUGUUAGUUUCUUCAUCACCUAUAAACAUACCAACAAGCCAGUGCUGCCUAUUUUAGAUAUUUCCUGAAGCUGGAAAAGGAGUACCUUGACUCCUGCCCUGCCUUGUCAAGAUUUCAGCCUGAAAGUGACACUUCCUGCUUACGUUUCUUGGCUAGACCAAGUCACAUGGCUCUGCUUAACUUCAGACAGAAGAAGCACAGUGUUCUAUGUGCCUCCAAAAGGAGGACAAUUGAAUCACAGUGAACAAUGCUAAUGUUUACCUGAGAAGUUUCAUGAUGAAAUGCUAUGAGCGGUCAUUUGUCUAUGGUUGCAACAAACAGCAGGAAUGCAUAGAAGCGAGGUCAGUCAUCUCUCACUUCCUUCUUUCCUGUCUCCCUCCCCCACCUCUUUCUCUCCUUCCUUUUGAAAUGCAGUGGACACUUAUAAACCACUAUACAACCCUACAGCUAGGAUGUUAUUAAUAACCUACACCUACCCAUGAACUCCCUGACAUCACUCCACCCUUGCUUUCUUCCUCAGAAGCAGCCAUUGUCUGAAUCUGUGUUUAUCGUCUGUUGUUUGUUUAAAUUACUUUUUAACAAUCACACACACAUGCUCGCACGUCACACUUAUGCCUAAAUGGUACAUUAAUUUCUCUGUUUUCAGACUAUAUAAAGAUACUAUCAUAUUAAAUGUUGUCUUUUGGGACAUGCUUUUUCCUAUGAUAUUAUGUAACUGCAAUUCUUCUAUGCUGUUGCACAUCCAUUCAUCCAUUUUCAUUGCUAUGGAUAUUCCAUUAUGUGACUACACCACCGUUUAUGUUUCUUACUAUCUCAUUUGUUAUUGAGCAUUUGUUUUGUUUCCAGGAUUUUUUUUUUUCCCAAUUAAGGACCAUGCUGCUAGGAAUAUUGUUAUAAGUGUCUCCAGGUACGCAUGUGCUGAAGUUUUCUUGAGUAUAUGACUAGAAUUCAAACUGAUGGAUCAUUAGAGUUUAUGAAUAUUCAACUUUAAAAGAUAUCAUUUUUUCCAAAAAUAAAUUGUACCAAUUUACAUCCCCA
rnacentral:lncRNA from 1 species